rnacentral:rRNA from 1 species
GGGUUGUGAGGUUAAGCGACUAAGCGUACACGGUGGAUGCCCUGGCAGUCAGAGGCGAUGAAGGACGUGCUAAUCUGCGAUAAGCGUCGGUAAGGUGAUAUGAACCGUUAUAACCGGCGAUUUCCGAAUGGGGAAACCCAGUGUGAUUCGUCACACUAUCAUUAACUGAAUCCAUAGGUUAAUGAGGCGAACCGGGGGAACUGAAACAUCUAAGUACCCCGAGGAAAAGAAAUCAACCGAGAUUCCCCCAGUAGCGGCGAGCGAACGGGGAGCAGCCCAGAGCCUGAAUCAGUGUGUGUGUUAGUGGAAGCGUCUGGAAAGGCGCGCGAUACAGGGUGACAGCCCCGUACACAAAAAUGCACAUACUGUGAGCUCGAUGAGUAGGGCGGGACACGUGGUAUCCUGUCUGAAUAUGGGGGGACCAUCCUCCAAGGCUAAAUACUCCUGACUGACCGAUAGUGAACCAGUACCGUGAGGGAAAGGCGAAAAGAACCCCGGCGAGGGGAGUGAAAAAGAACCUGAAACCGUGUACGUACAAGCAGUGGGAGCACGCUUAGGCGUGUGACUGCGUACCUUUUGUAUAAUGGGUCAGCGACUUAUAUUCUGUAGCAAGGUUAACCGAAUAGGGGAGCCGAAGGGAAACCGAGUCUUAACUGGGCGUUAAGUUGCAGGGUAUAGACCCGAAACCCGGUGAUCUAGCCAUGGGCAGGUUGAAGGUUGGGUAACACUAACUGGAGGACCGAACCGACUAAUGUUGAAAAAUUAGCGGAUGACUUGUGGCUGGGGGUGAAAGGCCAAUCAAACCGGGAGAUAGCUGGUUCUCCCCGAAAGCUAUUUAGGUAGCGCCUCGUGAAUUCAUCUCCGGGGGUAGAGCACUGUUUCGGCAAGGGGGUCAUCCCGACUUACCAACCCGAUGCAAACUGCGAAUACCGGAGAAUGUUAUCACGGGAGACACACGGCGGGUGCUAACGUCCGUCGUGAAGAGGGAAACAACCCAGACCGCCAGCUAAGGUCCCAAAGUCAUGGUUAAGUGGGAAACGAUGUGGGAAGGCCCAGACAGCCAGGAUGUUGGCUUAGAAGCAGCCAUCAUUUAAAGAAAGCGUAAUAGCUCACUGGUCGAGUCGGCCUGCGCGGAAGAUGUAACGGGGCUAAACCAUGCACCGAAGCUGCGGCAGCGACGCUGAUGCGUUGUUGGGUAGGGGAGCGUUCUGUAAGCCUGUGAAGGUGUGCUGUGAGGCAUGCUGGAGGUAUCAGAAGUGCGAAUGCUGACAUAAGUAACGAUAAAGCGGGUGAAAAGCCCGCUCGCCGGAAGACCAAGGGUUCCUGUCCAACGUUAAUCGGGGCAGGGUGAGUCGACCCCUAAGGCGAGGCCGAAAGGCGUAGUCGAUGGGAAACAGGUUAAUAUUCCUGUACUUGGUGUUACUGCGAAGGGGGGACGGAGAAGGCUAUGUUGGCCGGGCGACGGUUGUCCCGGUU